UACAGAGGUCUCAAGCGUUGCUCGGAAUCACUGGGCGUAAAGCGCACGUAGGCGGAUUGCUAAGUCAGGGGUGAAAUCCUGGAGCUCAACUCCAGAACUGCCCUUGAUACUGGCGGUCUCGAGUCCGGGAGAGGUGAGUGGAACUGCGAGUGUAGAGGUGAAAUUCGUAGAUAUUCGCAAGAACACCAGUGGCGAAGGCGGCUCACUGGCCCGGUACUGACGCUGAGGUGCGAAAGCGUGGGGAGCAAACAGG
rnacentral:rRNA from 1 species